rnacentral:rRNA from 1 species
UACGGAGGGAGCUAGCGUUGUUCGGAAUUACUGGGCGUAAAGCGCGCGUAGGCGGCUUUGUAAGUUAGAGGUGAAAGCCCGGAGCUCAACUCCGGAACUGCCUUUAAAACUGCAUCGCUUGAAUCCAGGAGAGGUGAGUGGAAUUCCGAGUGUAGAGGUGAAAUUCGUAGAUAUUCGCAAGAACACCAGUGGCGAAGGCGGCUCACUGGCCCGGAACUGACGCUGAGGUGCGAAAGCGUGGGGAGCAAACAGG